UUAGUAAGUACCAGUUGUGUACUGGGGUCAAUGUAAUCAACUUAUUCACCUCCCACAAAAUUUCAGGACUUGUGCUUCCAGUAGAAAGGAUUAUUAUUAUUAUUAUUAUCUUUAUCUUUGCUGUAAGGGUGAUGACAGAUCCACCAACAUCAUCAUCAUAGCAAGUGGUCCAAUUAGGGAAAGGAAAUUUCCAUAUGGGCUGCGUCCAUGCUAGAAACGGUAGCCAAAUCUACCCUCUGCUAUCUUAUAAACAGCAGGAUUGCAAUGCUAGGUACACUAUGUUUCAAAUAUAAGGGAAAAAAAAAAGAAAGAGAAUAAGAAGGGGACAUACUGGUCAUUGCUCUGGAAUGCGUUGGGUCAGAACUGGUAUCUGAAGUUAAUCAUCAUCAUCAUCACCAUGACCAUUCCAAAUAUGUUUUCGACAAAAUCUAAAGGACCCAAGGACUGCAUCAUGCUACAUCAGCUUCGGUAUAGUUUCUAUGACUGGAUGACCUUUCUAAUGCCGACCACAAAACAGCAUGCACCGAGUACUUUAUCUUGUAGCACUGGCACUCAGGAGGUUACCAUGGUGUUAGCAAAA